rnacentral:lncRNA from 1 species
CUCCUCCAUUUUUUGUUUGAAUUUUGUUCAUAUAUUUUUUGAGAUACUUUAUCGAGAUUAAUUCUUCUCCAAUGCCACUUAAAUCAGUAUUGCAUCUAUUAAAGUUCUAUAUUUAAAUGAGAAUUUUCCUUAUCUAUCUUCAAGUCAGGAUCGAGGCCUCCUUGUCCUAGAUACUCAUUGUGCCUAUCUUAUUUGUGGAUGUGC